GCUCGAGGGUGAUGAAGGAGACCUACCGACUCAAAGGGGUCCCAUCACCCCACAAAACAACUGAAAAGACUAAAAGUUGUGAGCUUCAUAGGAAUUAUCACCCAGCCAGCAAGACUCCCAGUGGAGAUCCUGGACUUGUGCAGUUACUAAAUACCAGCUGAGACGUCAGGCUGAAGAUGUAAAAGUGGUUCUUCAAAACUGAAAAGCUAUCAACCUUGAAAUUUGGCUGAAGAGUGAAUAAUUAAAGCAAUCUCUGAAAUUG